UUAAGGAAAGCCAAAAAGAGGCUUAUCACUGUUAAUGAUAGAAAUGGGAUCGUCCCCUUCUUGAA
rnacentral:tRNA from 1 species